UUUCUGGAUUAACGACUGGUGUGGAAUGGCCCAGUCCACUGGGGUGGAGCUAUCUUUGCAGAGGCGGCUCUGGGUGGUAGAAGGAAGCAGGCUGAGCAAGUCAUCAGAAGCGAGCCAGUAAGGAGAAGCAGGUCAUGAGAAGAGAGCCGGUAAGGAGAAGCAGGCCAUGAGAAGCGAGCCGGUAAGGAGAAGCAGGUCAUGAGAAGAGAGCAGAACUCUUGAUUUCCACUGCUCUAUAGCCUGCAACCUCCAUGAGGACAGAAACCAGCCUGCCUGACCCAGGGAUGUCUGGGUAUAACCACUUGUGGUCCUGAGUCUACGAUCAGUAUUUGCUGAGAUCCAGCGGGCGCUGCCCCUGUCUUACCAGAGCCAUACCAGUCUUGGUUAGACCCAAUGGAUGGCAGCACACAGAGGAAGAGAUGAGUUCACCCAGCUGAACCACAGAGAUGCGUGAGCAGCGAGACUAAUUGAAUAUUUUCAGUGAAGCCGAAUGUCGUGUUUCUAAAACAAUUCCAAGAUUAAAUAAAAUUAGUUUGGAAAAGAUAAUGCUUAUUUCCCAAAUGUCAUCUGUAUGUGUCCCUUGCUUGAGGUAAGGACACUAAAUGUUUACAGAGAAUUCCAAG